GAUGAACGCUAGCGGCAGGCUUAACACAUGCAAGUCGAGGGGUAGUAUUGGAGCUUGCUCUAAUAUGAGACCGGCGCACGGGUGCGUAACGCGUAUAGAACCUACCUUAAUCAAAGGGAUAGCCCAGAGAAAUUUGGAUUAAUACCUUAUGUGAUUAUAGAGUGGCAUCACUUAAUAAUUAAAGAUUUAUCGGAUUAAGAUGGCUAUGCGUCCCAUUAGCUAGUUGGUAUGGUAACGGCAUACCAAGGCGAUGAUGGGUAGGGGUCCUGAGAGGGAGAUCCCCCACACUGGUACUGAGACACGGACCAGACUCCUACGGGAGGCAGCAGUGAGGAAUAUUGGUCAAUGGAGGCAACUCUGAACCAGCCAUGCCGCGUGCAGGAAGAAGGUCUUAUGGAUUGUAAACUGCUUUUAUACAGGAAGAAACCUACUCUUGCGAGAGUAAUUGACGGUACUGUAAGAAUAAGGACCGGCUAACUCCGUGCCAGCAGCCGCGGUAAUACGGAGGGUUCGAGUGUUAUCCGGAAUCAUUGGGUUUAAAGGGUUCGUAGGCGGUUGAAUAAGUCAGUGGUGAAAGUUUUCGGCUCAACCGGAAAAAUGCCAUUGAUACUGUUUAGCUUGAAUUAGUGUGAAGUAAUUAGAAUAAGUAGUGUAGCGGUGAAGUGCAUAGAUAUUACUUAGAAUACCGAUUGCGAAGGCAGAUUACUAACACUAAAUUGACGCUGAUGGACGAAAGCGUGGGGAGCGAACAGG
rnacentral:rRNA from 1 species